UCCCUGGUGGUCCAGUGGCUAAGACUCCAUGCUCCCAAUGCAGGAGGCCCAGGUUCGAUUCCUGGUCAGGGAG
rnacentral:tRNA from 1 species